rnacentral:tRNA from 1 species
GGGGCUAUAGCUCAGCUGGGAGAGCGCGUCGUUCGCAACGACGAGGCCGUCGGUUCGAUCCCGACUAGCUCCACCA